CCUACGGGAGGCAGCAGUGGGGAAUUUUGGACAAUGGGCGCAAGCCUGAUCCAGCAAUGCCGCGUGCAGGAUGAAGGCCUUCGGGUUGUAAACUGCUUUUGUACGGAACGAAACGGCCCUUUCUAAUACAAGGGGUUAAUGACGGUACCGUAAGAAUAAGCACCGGCUAACUACGUGCCAGCAGCCGCGGUAAUACGUAGGGUGCGAGCGUUAAUCGGAAUUACUGGGCGUAAAGCGUGCGCAGGCGGUUAUAUAAGACAGAUGUGAAAUCCCCGGGCUCAACCUGGGACCUGCAUUUGUGACUGUAUAGCUAGAGUACGGUAGAGGGGGAUGGAAUUCCGCGUGUAGCAGUGAAAUGCGUAGAUAUGCGGAGGAACACCGAUGGCGAAGGCAAUCCCCUGGACCUGUACUGACGCUCAUGCACGAAAGCGUGGGGAGCAAACAGGAUUAGAUACCCUGGUAGUCCACGCCCUAAACGAUGUCAACUGGUUGUUGGGUCUUCACUGACUCAGUAACGAAGCUAACGCGUGAAGUUGACCGCCUGGGGAGUACGGCCGCAGGUUGAAACUUAAGGAAUUGACGGCUGAGACGNGCGAGACGACGACGAGGAGAGG
rnacentral:rRNA from 1 species